GCUUACGGCCAUACCAGCCUGAAAGCGCCCGAUCUUGUCAGAUCUCAGAAGCUAAGCAGGGUCGGGCCUGGUUAGUACUUGGAUGGGAGACUUCCUGGGAAUACCAGGUGCUGUAAGCU
ensembl:rRNA 5S_rRNA 5S ribosomal RNA